GACGAACGCUGGCGGCGUGCCUAAUACAUGCAAGUAGAACGCUGAAGGAGGAGCUUGCUUCUCUGGAUGAGUUGCGAACGGGUGAGUAACGCGUAGGUAACCUGCCUGGUAGCGGGGGAUAACUAUUGGAAACGAUAGCUAAUACCGCAUAAUAGUAGAUGUUGCAUGACAUUUGCUUAAAAGGUGCAAUUGCAUCACUACCAGAUGGACCUGCGUUGUAUUAGCUAGUUGGUGGGGUAACGGCUCACCAAGGCGACGAUACAUAGCCGACCUGAGAGGGUGAUCGGCCACACUGGGACUGAGACACGGCCCAGACUCCUACGGGAGGCAGCAGUAGGGAAUCUUCGGCAAUGGACGGAAGUCUGACCGAGCAACGCCGCGUGAGUGAAGAAGGGUUUCGGAUCGUAAAGCUCUGUUGUAAGAGAAGAACGAGUGUGAGGGUGGAAAGUUCACACUGUGACGGUAGCUUACCAGAAAGAGACGGCUAACUACGUG
rnacentral:rRNA from 1 species